AUCAUACGCCAGUCGAGAUUGAUAAAUUUAAAUAUAUUAAUAUGAUGAAAUUCUCUUUGCAGACUUCACAUAAUAACCAGUUAGUUCAUCGUACAGGCUUUAAUUACUGCCUAUAAUAUUUUUUAAUCCCUCAAGUAUCAUGCAAAAUUUGUUCCUUUUUAAAAUUUUAAACGAACACAUGACAAUAAAUAUUUUCGCAUAUCAUCUCUGACAUCGUGGAUGCAGCACUUCCCAAUUAGGUGCCUCAUUUGGAACAUCAUACUAGCUUCAGGGUGCAAACUUCCAUUAUUAUCUCAUCAUAUAUUUUGUUAAUUCUAAUUAAUGUUCGGAACACGCUUACGUUUUAAAAUUUUCGCGUUGUUAAUACAAAAAUAUUUCAUGGAUAUCGGAAAUUUAUCCUAGGACGAAUCUAAUCAUGUCAUAUAUAUGUCUCAUUACAAAAUAUAGAACAAUAAAUUAAAAUGAGUUAACCGGUCUCCGUGUCUGGGUCAGAAUUGUGUCCUCACAUGUGUCAGCAAAUGUGUGGCACAGUACAAUGCCCCGGGUGGAGUCAUUUGGGGGAUUACUAAUGACAAAAAGAUUUCUUAAGUUUUUAAUAUAGGUUUUAGUAAAGACAUAUCGUUAUAAAAUUUUGAUUUAUGAUUCCUAAGAUCUAGUAUUGGUUAAAGGGAGGAUAACUCUCUCGUAUUGUCUGCAGUACUCUUGGACAUUUGCAGGGCUGAGUAAUUACGCUAUUUCUAUUUAUAUUGCUCCUUUGACUGGCUAUCCUACCGUAGUUUAUUUCGUGAUUGUCAUAUGAAGUGGCUGACCCUCGUCCGCAUGAUUCAUGUAAGUAGAACUCAUUGCCCUCGAACGACAGAGCAAUGAUGUCAUAUAAUCCUCUCUAAUCAGACGAAAUGCGUAUUAGGUUAUUAAUUAAGAUAACGGAAAUUAUCAUUAGUGGUUCGGGUCAGUGGGCUUCUAAUGAUAAUAGUGGAACAAGCAAGCACCAUCAAGGAGCUCGAUGCUGGACGCAUUCAUUCAUCAGGAUGACCCAACCAGUACUUAGGAGUAGAGCAAAACACACCAAUGAGUGCAGUCGGAGGAGGCGGUUCGACAAGAUUCUUCCUGCUUCCGAAAACCCGUUCACUGUAAUGUUUCCCUCCAUCAUGUGAAAGACGAACCACAAUUAAAAAUAUUCCACUUUCUACCACCUUAAACAGGGACCUCAUCACCGUUUGAAACGACAGCUGUGCAUGCCAUUUUUAUGACUCGUAAAAAGUUAUAAUCAGAGGCCACCAAGGCCUCCACGUGGCAGUUGUUCUUAUCUUUUCCGAUUUAAAUCCACAGAUGAGUUCCAACUAAUAUUUUCUAUACGUGUGUACCAGCGAAAAAAAAUUGGCACGCCUCAGGGUGCAAUAAAAAUUAUAGAUCUCUGACCAUGACGAAUAAUAAAUUAAUAUAUUCUAACUAAAACCCUCAUUUCGCUAUGUGUAUGCCAGGAAUAGUGUGCUUAAUGUAAGAGUUAGUGUUCGAAUCACAUGAAAGAGUAGUUUUACAGCUGUUCCGCCCAUGUAACAUUUAUUGGUGUACAAACAUCGGUAGCUCCGCCCGAAGUUACACAACAAACAAUUCGACGUUAGUCGGUUCUAGAUUUUUCUUUGUUUGCUUUAUGUGACAACGAUAAGACAGAAUUAAUUAAGAAAAAUUAACACGAUAAAACUAGAACGUAAGAUAGUCAAGAAAUUAUUAAUUACAUAACGUGCUAUUGAAAAUUCAAGUGGCAUAUAUAUUUACUUAUUCUUAUUAGACCUUUCUUUAUCGCUAUUUAAUUAUUUAUUAUGCCUUCCAGUAAAAAUAAUGCAUGAAGGGACGAGAUCGCAAAUUAAUCCCCGCAGACCCGUUUUAAUUAUUCUUGUUCCUAAUAGACGGUCUAUCAUUAUUUACUAGUAAUUAAUAGGCUAUAAUUUGAAUAUACUACUCUAUUCAAAUAGGACAAACGUUAUAACUGUUCGUAAAAUGAACGCAUUUGUUAUCGAUACAAC
rnacentral:lncRNA from 1 species